CCUACGGGGGACUGCAGUGGGGAAUAUUGCACAAUGGGGGAAACCCUGAUGCAGCGACGCCGCGUGAGUGAAGAAGUAAUUCGUUAUGGAAAGCUCUAUCAGCAUGGAAGUAAAUGACGGUACCUCAGUGAGAAUCCCCGUCUAACUACGUGCCAGCAGCCGCGGUAAUACGUAGGGGGCAAGCGUUAUCCGGAUUUACUGGGUGUAAAGGGAGCGUAGACGGCAGUGCAAGUCUGGAGUGAAAGGCGGGGGCUCAACCCCAGGAUUGCUCUGGAAACUGUACGGCUGGAGUGCAGGAGAGGUAAGUGGAAUUCCUAGUGUAGCGGUGAAAUGCGUAGAUAUUAGGAGGAACACCAGUUGCGAAGGCGGCUUACUGGACUGUAACUGACGUUGAGGCUCGAAAGCGUGGGUAGCAAACAGGAUUAGAUACCCCAGUAGUC
rnacentral:rRNA from 1 species